UACGUAGGGUGCAAGCGUUUAAUCGGAAUUACUGGGCGUAAAGCGUGCGCAGGCGGUUGUGCAAGACAGAUGUGAAAUCCCCGGGCUUAACCUGGGAAUUGCAUUUGUGACUGCACGGCUAGAGUGUGUCAGAGGGGGGUAGAAUUCCACGUGUAGCAGUGAAAUGCGUAGAUAUGUGGAGGAAUACCGAUGGCGAAGGCAGCCCCCUGGGAUAACACUGACGCUCAUGCACGAAAGCGUGGGGAGCAAAUGGG
rnacentral:rRNA from 1 species